UACGGGGGGAGCAAGCGUUGUUCGGAUUUACUGGGCGUAAAGGGCGCGUAGGCGGUCAGCACAAGUCAGUUGUGAAAUCUCCGGGCUUAACUCGGAAAGGUCAACUGAUACUGUGCGACUAGAGUGCGGAAGGGGCAACUGGAAUUCUCGGUGUAGCGGUGAAAUGCGUAGAUAUCGGGAGGAACACCAGUGGCGAAGGCGGCGACCUGGGCAGAUACUGACACUGAGGUGCGAAAAGCGUGGGGGAGUAAACAGG
rnacentral:rRNA from 1 species